AUGUCCUUUUGUUAUUAAUUUAAGGUCUAACCUGCUCAAUGAAGUUUAAAUAGCCGCAGUAUUUUGACUGUGCAAAGGUAGCAUAAUAAUUAGUUUCUUAAUUAGAAACUGGAAUGAAUGGUUGGACAAGAAAAUUACUGUCUCUUUUUUAAUAUUGUUGAAUUUUAUUUUUAAGUGAAAAAGCUUAAAUUUUUAUAAAAGACGAGAAGACCCUAUAGAGUUUAAUACUUUUCUAUAAUAAAAUAUUAGAAUAUUAGGUUUUUGUAAAGUAUUUGGUUGGGGUGACUGAAAGAAAUGGUGAAUUCUUUUAAUUUUUGAUUGAUGAUUAUCAAAUUUUAAAUCUAUAGUUUAUAAAACUAAAAUAAAUUACCUUAGGGAUAACAGCGUAAUUUUUCUUUAAAGUUCUUAUUAAAAGAAAAGUUUGCGACCUCGAUGUUGGAUUAAAAUUAAUUUUUGGUGCAGUAACUUAAAAAUUGGGUCUGUUCGACCUUUAAAAUUUUACAUGAUCUGAGUUUAAACCGGUGUGAGCCAGGUUGGAUUCUAUCUUUAGAAAGUUUUUAUAUUUUAGUACGAAAGGACCAUAUAUAAAUUAAAUUAAUUGU
rnacentral:rRNA from 1 species